rnacentral:rRNA from 1 species
CGUCAAGUCAUCAUGGCCCUUAUGUCCAGGGCUACACACGUGCUACAAUGGUUGGUACAAAGUGAAGCGAAACCGCGAGGUUAGAGCGAAGCACGAAAGCCAACCGUAGUUCGGAUUGAAGUCUGAAACCCGACUUCAUGAAGUUGGAAUCGCUAGUAAUCGCGCAUCAGCAUGGCGCGGUGAAUACGUUCCCGGGCCUU